UGCAGUCGAACGAGAAAACUCCCUUCGGGGAGUGAGUAAAGUGGCGAACGGGUGAGUAACACGUGGGUUACCUGCCCUCGAGUGGGGAAUAACUCUGGGAAACCGGGGCUAACACCGCAUACGAUCCUUCGGGAUGAAAGUCUUCGGACGCUCGAGGAGGGGCCCGCGGCCGAUUAGCUUGUUGGCGGGGUAAUGGCCCACCAAGGCAAAGAUCGGUAGCCGGCCUGAGAGGGCGCACGGUCACACUGGCACUGAGACACGGGCCAGACUCCUACGGGAGGCAGCAGUGAGGAAUCUUGGACAAUGGGGGAAACCCUGAUCCAGCGACGCCGCGUGAGUGAUGAAGCCUUUCGGGGUGUAAAGCUCUUUCAGCGGGGACAAUCAUGAUGGUACCCGCACAAGCAGCUGCGGCUAACUACGUGCCAGCAGCCGCGGUAAUACGUAGGCAGCAAGCGUUGUUCGGAAUUACUGGGCGUAAAGCGAGUGUAGGCGGUCUGCCAAGUCUGUUGUGAAAUCUCCCGGCUCAACUGGGAGGGUGCGUCGGAAACUGGCAGGCUCGAGUGCGAGAGGGGAGAGUGGAAUUCCUGGUGUAGCGGUGGAAUGCG
rnacentral:rRNA from 1 species